UCAAAUUAGAGUUUGUUAAAGCAUUUUAUUUACAUUAAAAAGAAAAUUAUUAAUUUAAUUUAAUUU
rnacentral:tRNA from 2 species